CUAGCUACAGGCUUAACACAUGCAAGUCGAGGGGCAGCAUGGUCUUAGCUUGCUAAGGCCGAUGGCGACCGGCGCACGGGUGAGUAACACGUAUCCAACCUGCCGUCUACUCUUGGACAGCCUUCUGAAAGGAAGAUUAAUACAAGAUGGCAUCAUGAGUCCGCAUGUUCACAUGAUUAAAGGUAUUCCGGUAGACGGUGGGGAUGCGUUCCAUUAGAUAGUAGGCGGGGUAACGGCCCACCUAGUCUUCGAUGGAUAGGGGUUCUGAGAGGAAGGUCCCCCACAUUGGAACUGAGACACGGUCCAAACUCCUACGGGAGGCAGCAGUGAGGAAUAUUGGUCAAUGGGCGAGAGCCUGAACCAGCCAAGUAGCGUGAAGGAUGACUGCCCUAUGGGUUGUAAACUUCUUUUAUAAAGGAAUAAAGUCGGGUAUGGAUACCCGUUUGCAUGUACUUUAUGAAUAAGGAUCGGCUAACUCCGUGCCAGCAGCCGCGGUAAUACGGAGGAUCCGAGCGUUAUCCGGAUUUAUUGGGUUUAAAGGGAGCGUAGAUGGAUGUUUAAGUCAGUUGUGAAAGUUUGCGGCUCAACCGUAAAAUUGCAGUUGAUACUGGAUAUCUUGAGUGCAGUUGAGGCAGGCGGAAUUCGUGGUGUAGCGGUGAAAUGCUUAGAUAUCACGAAGAACUCCGAUUGCGAAGGCAGCCUGCUAAGCUGCAACUGACAUUGAGGCUCGAAAGUGUGGGUAUCAAACAGGAUUAGAUACCCUGGUAGUCCACACGGUAAACGAUGAAUACUCGCUGUUUGCGAUAUACUGCAAGCGGCCAAGCGAAAGCGUUAAGUAUUCCACCUGGGGAGUACGCCGGCAACGGUGAAACUCAAAGGAAUUGACGGGGGCCCGCACAAGCGGAGGAACAUGUGGUUUAAUUCGAUGAUACGCGAGGAACCUUACCCGGGCUUAAAUUGCAGAUGAAUUACGGUGAAAGCCGUAAGCCGCAAGGCAUCUGUGAAGGUGCUGCAUGGUUGUCGUCAGCUCGUGCCGUGAGGUGUCGGCUUAAGUGCCAUAACGAGCGCAACCCUUGUUGUCAGUUACUAACAGGUUCCGCUGAGGACUCUGACAAGACUGCCAUCGUAAGAUGUGAGGAAGGUGGGGAUGACGUCAAAUCAGCACGGCCCUUACGUCCGGGGCUACACACGUGUUACAAUGGGGGGUACAGAGGGCCGCUACCACGCGAGUGGAUGCCAAUCCCCAAAACCUCUCUCAGUUCGGACUGGAGUCUGCAACCCGACUCCACGAAGCUGGAUUCGCUAGUAAUCGCGCAUCAGCCACGGCGCGGUGAAUACGUUCCCGGGCCUUGUACACACCGCCCGUCAAGCCAUGGGAGCCGGGGGUACCUGAAGUGCGUAACCGCGAGGAGCGCCCUAGGGUAAAACUGGUGACUGGGGCUAAG
rnacentral:rRNA from 1 species